rnacentral:piRNA from 1 species
UGAUUCAUGCCAACACUCAGGAAACGGA